GCAUACUUAGUAAAAGAAAAACAAUCAUAUAAAUCAUGAUUAGUAUUCUUAACCAUAUCUAGGUUUUAUUAAGUCUUUUACUGACCUCCGAGCGAAGCUGUUACAAUAUAUAUUCAUUGAGAGCAUAAGGGAUCCCCAGCUACCGUUGUGAAUCACCAACUCAUUCCCAAACCAUUCUCAUUUCCCCAUCUAAACUAUGACCAAGGUCAUACUUUAUCACUGUGGUCCUACGUGUACCUAACACAUUUUCUCUCUUGUUAGAGGGACCACC
rnacentral:lncRNA from 1 species